rnacentral:rRNA from 1 species
GAUGAACGCUGGCGGCGUGCCUAAUACAUGCAAGUCGAGCGAACGGACGAGAAGCUUGCUUCUCUGAUGUUAGCGGCGGACGGGAGAGUAACACGUGGAUAACCUACCUAUAAGACUGGGAUAAUUUCGGGAAACCGGAGCUAAUACCGGAUAAUAUUUUGAACCGCAUGGUUCAAAAGUGAAAGUCGGUCUUGCUGUCGCUUAUAGAUGGAUCCGCGCUGCAUUAGCUAGUUGGUACGGUAAAGGCUUACCAAGGCAACGAUGCAUAGCCGACCCGAGGGGGCGAUCGACCGCAGUUGAGCUGGGACACGGUGCAGACUUGUACGUGAGGCAGCAGUAGGGAAUCUACGGGAGGGGGCAGAAGCGUGUCGGAGCAACGGCGCGUGAGUGAUGAAGAUCUUCGGCUCGUAAAACACUGAUAUUAUGGAAUAACAUAUGUGUAUGUAACGGUGCGAAUCUGAAAGGAACCUAAUCAGAAGGCCACGGCUAACUACGG